CAGUCGCCGCGGUAACACGAAGGGUGCAAGCGUUACUCGGAAUUACUGGGCGUAAAGCGUGCGUAGGUGGUGGUUUAAGUCCGUUGUGAAAGCCCUGGGCUCAACCUGGGAAUUGCAGUGGAUACUGGGUCACUAGAGUGUGGUAGAGGAUAGUGGAAUUUCCGGUGUAGCAGUGAAAUGCGUAGAGAUCGGAAGGAACAUCUGUGGCGAAGGUGACUAUCUGGGCCAACACUGACACUGAGGCACGAAAGCGUGGGGAGCAAACAGGAUUAGAUACCCCAGUAGUCCCUGUCUCUUAUAC
rnacentral:rRNA from 1 species